rnacentral:misc_RNA from 1 species
UGAAGUUGAAAUGGCAUACGCUUCUGUCUGUACCACAAAGUUCGUUCAUUAUACAAUCAUGUCGAAGGUUUCUUGCAACUUGCAUCAAUGGUGAAUUUCAAGUUGGUGAUGGUUUUAUUAUUUAAAGUCCAAGAGAAGACAAUGAUAUGUCAUUCAAACCAAUGCUGCACUGCUUAGAAGGUUCAAAAGUCAUCAGUGCCUAUCAUGGAUGAAGAACAUCUUUGUGAAGAUGGUCAUACUGUUAAGAAACUUUGGUUUUCAUUUAAUGCACAGGUAGGUGUACAUGGGACCUGUUCUCCAGGAAAAUUCCACCAAUGUUCAACACACCACCAGAAUCGCACUUUGGACUAUAGGCAACUACAAUCCACUAUUCAAACUCAUCAUAGAAACCUGAGUCUGGACUCUGUGCUCCAGAAGAUUCCAGAAACUGGGACUCGGCUUUCUACAUUGAACAAACGUCCUUUAGUUUUAAAUGAUAACUUGUCAACGGACACCACUUUUGCAUGUUCUCCAUUCUCCCAGAACUUGGUGCCUCCUGACCAAACCAGUGUAGCUUCAGAUGACAGUGGUAUAUUUAACUCUGACGAUACUGAUAGAACAACACCUUCACUCAGCUAUGAACUCAGAACCAAUAGUUUCUCCCAAUUAUGCUUAGAUUGUCCGUCUUCCCAGUUAGAUGCUGUUCCCAUGGAAACCAAACCUAAUCAAACUGGUUCAGUGAAUGAAAUAAAGCCAGAAGAGACUGAUCAGCUAGUUAUCCCAUCAACUUCAAUAGGUUCAAAUAGUAAUGAAUCUCCUGUCAUGCUUUUUAAAAAUCCUCCACCAAGAGAAUCCUGGUUACUGAGGCUCUUUGAGUCAAAACUUUUUGACAUGUCAAUAGCUAUCACUUAUUUAUUUAAAUCAAAGGAACCUGGAGUAUUAUCGUACAUAGGAAACAGGAUUUUUAGCUUUACUGACAAGGAGGUGGACUUCUUCUUGCCACAGCUAGUUAGUCUUUACAUACAUCAUGCUGAUAUUGCAGACGUCGUACAUGCUUACCUUAUCCAUAGAUGUAAGAAGAAUGCUGACUUCUCACUACAGCUGGUGUGGUUAUUGACAGCGUACUGCUCUGAUACGAAUGCUCCCUUAUGCAGAAAGUCUCAAGGAGUGAAACUGAAAAACAGGGUUCUCUUGGAGGAACUUAGAGCUAAUCCUCCUACCCAUGGAAGAUUUGUUUCUGAUCAUACAUCCUGUGUAACCAGUCCAACAACAACAAAGAAAACCCACCAAAGGUCUCAUUCAGAUGCAACAGGAUUAAGACCAGGAGGAAAUAAUGUUGGACAAGUAUCUGGUCACCUCACUCCAAAAGUAAAAUGGGUAUUAGGAGAUUUGUCCUCAGGUCAAGCCUUCAAUGGCAAAUGUAUUUGCUUUGAUAGCUGUAAAGGUUUGUGCAGUGAACUAAAAGGACAAAGGAUUCAAUGUCAUUGCCAGGCAUCACGGUUAGCUCCUGAAAAUGAAUUUGUUAAAUCGCUGAUUUCCAUUGGUCUACGUUUGAAAGCACUACCCACAAAGGAAUUGAAAACCCAGCAACUUCAGGCAGAACUCUCCUUAUUAAAUAUCAACCUUCCAGCAAGAGUCUGGCUACCUAUCCACUCAUCCAGCCUUUCACACCUGGUCGUCCGGGUCCCACCUCAAGCUGCUGUCGUGCUCAACUCUAAAGAUAAGGCUCCCUACAUUAUUUACGUCGAAGUGACUGAGGUUGAGAACAUGGAGACAAGUCCUAUACCAUCUAAAUUUGUGAACACGCUACGCCAAACUCGCUCAGAAGAAAAUUUGUUAGACUACUGCAGUCAUCAGGAUGUCUCUCCCAAUUCAUUUUCUGUUUAUCCAAAUGUUGAUAAUGAUGGUGAAUGCUGGAGCCUAGAAGAUGAUGAUGUUUCUGCUCAGUUACAGUACCUGAGGUGUCACAAAACUAGAGACAGAGAUACACUCUCCCAGUUCUCUCAAGACAGUGGUACUAGUGCAGACAGGGAUCCUGUUUUUAUAGGUGCUGGAGACAUUAGACGGCGACUUUCAGAAAUUUUUAACAUUCCAAAGACUACAUUCAAGAGAGAUCCAGAAGAUCCUUCUGCAGCUGCUCUUAAGGAACCCUGGGAGGACAAGAUUAAAAGAGUUCGGGAAUCUUCACCGUAUACUCACCUGCCUGGGUGGCAGCUUUUGGCAGUCAUCGUUAAGUGUGGUGAUGACUUGAGGCAAGAACUGAUGGCGUAUCAAAUCCUGGCUACUCUUCAGAAAAUAUGGGAACAGGAAAGGGUACCACUGUGGAUCCGUCCUUAUCAUAUCCAGGUAACAUCGUCAGACAGUGGCAUGAUUGAACCUAUUCUAAAUACUGUAUCACUUCAUCAGAUCAAGAAACAAAGCAAGAUGUCACUUUUGGACUAUUUUCUUCAAGAAUUUGGCCCUCCAACUUCAGAAGCAUUUCUAUCGUCUCAGAAAAAUUUUGUACAGAGUUGUGCUGCGUAUUGUCUUCUAUCUUACCUGGUUCAGGUGAAAGACAGACACAAUGGAAAUAUCUUACUGGAUGCAGAGGGUCACAUCAUUCAUAUAGACUUUGGCUUCAUUUUGUCUUCCUCUCCAAAAAACCUAGGCUUUGAGAAUUCUCCUUUCAAACUCACACAAGAGUUUGUGAAUGUUAUGGGAGGAUUGGGAAGUGACAUGUUCGAAUAUUUCAAGAUCCUCAUGCUCCAGGGAUUUCUUGCUGCUCGUAAACACCACGACAAGAUUCUGGCUUUGGUUGAAAUCAUGCAGGCUAAUGCUCAGCUGCCUUGCUUCAGAAAUGGAGCCAGUGCAGUGAAAGCACUAAAGGAACGAUUUCACAUUGGUUUAACAGAUGACCACCUUCAACUUCUCAUUGAUAGCAUGGUAGAGUCCAGUAUGCAUUCACUGACAACAAAACUGUAUGAUGGCUUUCAGUAUUUAACCAAUGGAAUCCUGUGAGGCAGAAUCUGAUUCUCAUUCGAGUGUUAACUAAAAGUAGUGUGAGAAACCAUCUUGAUUUAAUAUCAUGAAAUUGUAGAUGCCCUUCUAGAAAGAAUUAGAACUGUUCUAAUGGUCAAAGGUGGAACCACGUGAUAUAGUGAGUAUUUUAUUUAUCUUUAUAAUUAUGUUACAUUUUUCACAAAAGUGAUUUGCAAAAUGGGUAAUAUACUAAGGUUGUAACACCAAUCGGUAACAGCUAUGAAUGAUGUGCUUCCGUCAGUAAGCAAGUAAGUGUCGCACGACUAUAGUUGGAUUGAUAUUGCUAAAGUAAAAUAAGCUCAAGAUUCAUUUGGCAAAAAUCUACAAUCGUAGAAUUCAGAACAUGAUCAUUUCAUAUUCUUUCUAAAUCUGAAAUUCAGCAUAAAUAUUUCAAGAAUAAUUAACAAUGUUUCUAGCCUAAGUUGUUCAUAAGAUAGUACCUAAUAUUCUUCGAUAAUAAGAGAGAGAGAAACGUAGAUCCAAACGGUGACAGUAUAAUGCAAUGAAUGUCAUAAACCUAACUGCCCUGCACAAAAUAAUAAAUAUCUGUCAUUUAAGACAGCCAAUUAACUUGUGCUUCAUUAGGUCACCUAUUAUUUAUAUAUAUAUAUAUAUUCACCAGUCUAAGUUUGAAUAUUUAAGUUAUAUUUUGUACCCUAUUACUAAAAAUUGUGAGGACAUUCUUUUGUUUUAAGGGACAAUCAGGACUGUAAAUAAGUAUUGUAAUGCAUGUUUUUAUUUUGUUUUUGUGUGCUC